rnacentral:misc_RNA from 1 species
GAAAUGCGAUAAGUAAUGUGAAUUGCAGAAUUCAGUGAAUCAUCGAAUCUUUGAACGCACAUUGCGCCCGCCAGUAUUCUGGCGGGCAUGCCUGUCCGAGCAUCAUUUCAACCAUCAAGCCCCCGGGCUUGUGUUGGGGACCUGCGGCUGCCCACAGGCCCUGAAAACCAGUGGCGGGCUCGCUGUCACACCGAGCGUAGUAGCAAUCACCUCGCUCAGGGCGUGCUGCGGGUUCCGGCCGUUAAACAGCCUUACAAAACCCAAGGUUGACCUCGGAUCAGGUAGGAAGACCCGCUGAACUUAAGC